CAGUAGCCACGGGAAUACGAAGGGGGCUAGCGUUGUUCGGAAUUACUGGGCGUAAAGCGCACGUAGGCGGAUAUUUAAGUCAGGGGUGAAAUCCCAGAGCUCAACUCUGGAACUGCCUUUGAUACUGGGUAUCUUGAGUAUGGAAGAGGUGAGUGGAAUUCCGAGUGUAGAGGUGAAAUUCGUAGAUAUUCGGAGGAACACCAGUGGCGAAGGCGGCUCACUGGUCCAUUACUGACACUGAGGCACGAAAGCGUGGGGAGCAAACAGGAUUAGAUACCCCCGUAGUCCCUGUCUCUUAUAC
rnacentral:rRNA from 1 species